AAGGCUAGGGGGUCACCUGAUUCAUUCACCUGACGUGUCAUUCACGUGACCUGUUGUAGCAGGUAGAUAGCUACCGGGUUGCAGGCCCUUUGUUAAAAUUGAAUGGCGCGGCAAACACAGUGGUGAGGGCACUGUUUUUGCGUGUGGAUUUUUGGCCGGCGGUGAUUUAACAGAGCGGUACACUGCAGUCAUCCUGCCCGUUUGCUCCCCUGGGCUUUUGUGCAACAUUAUCUGCAGUUCGCUUGGAUUUGUUGGUUCCGAGCAAGAGGUCAGCCGACUAAAUGCGUGCAGUUGCGGGGGAUUUUAAAGAGGAACGACCUGUAGCCACUGUUUUUCCCACCACCAUUGAUUGUGUAGCCUAUCAUGUAUUGUGAUGCCUUACCUAAACCGACGAUAUAGUGGUAGCUCGUUUGUAUAGGUAUCCUAGCUCAUAUCGAUAGUACAUCCAUACUGGUAUCUUAUUUGAUCUAAACCUAUUGAUAGUCCAUCCACAUUGGUAGCUUGCAGUCCUAUUGAUAGCCCACCCACACUGAUAGCUGUCGGUGAUCCAACCCUAGUCCAUUCAUACUGGUAGCGUGUUUGAUUUAAAGCUAGCUCAUUCAUACUGGUAGCGUACUUGAUCUAAACCUAUUGAUAGCCCAUUCAUACUGGUAGCGUGCAGCCAUAUUAAUAGCUUAUCCACACGGGUAGUUUGCUUGGUGUCUUAAGCUAGAGUAGCAGCGGUCAUACUGGAGCUGUGGCAUUAGGCCUAUUUACGUAUGUGCGUACUUUGUGUGUGAAACCACCUCCAAGUUGUGUUUGUUUUCUUUAUAUUUUGGUGGUGAGGCUUAUUCUUUUCUUUGUUUUCUUUUUCAUCCUUGCCAUGAUUACUGUGUGUGUGCCCUAUUUGGGGGUUGAAAUAUUUGCUUGAAGAUUAUGAUUUCAAUGGUUUGCAUUUGUUUUGUAGUGGGUACCCCAUACUGAAUACGGCUUAAAUACUACAACAGUAUUGAUUAGAGUACAUCUAUCUAUUCAUCCAGCUUUUAUACCAUGACAAACUACGUCUAAAAAUAAAAGUGUUUUAUUUUUGUA